rnacentral:lncRNA from 1 species
ACGGCGCGCUGCCUCUCAGAAACAACGGAAUCUCGAGCUGAAACGGUCGCGCUUUAUACAACACUGGUAUUGGACAAUUUUUGAAAUAACGGAAAAGCGGAAUUUGAAUUUGAAUAUUUUAGUAGAAAGAAAACUUGCAAGCGCUGUUAUAGCUGAAGAAUUCUUACUUAUUAGAAGACAAGGUGUACUAAUUUUAUGUUAAAGUGGCAUUUAUUUGCUUUACCUCAAUAAAACACUUAAAGUUUCGUUUCGAAGACUUAUAAACAUAUUUUGCGUUCGAUUUACAUCUUCUGUCAACGGAAGAACAAUUAUUUGUUUGUACUCGGAAGUAAAUACAGGAAGAAAAAUGUGCAAUUCAUUUAACAUUUUGCUAGCAUGUUUGUGCAGCCUACUGAUAGCAGCGGUCCUGUCGGCUCCAGUUUCAAAAGACAACUUCGAUGACAUAAAAGCCGCUCUCAAAGCACAGUUGAAAGACCAAGAAAAGGCAUUAGAAUCACUCACGUCAAUCCCUAACACAGGCUCAAAUGGUAUUCAAUAUUCAAAGACUAAGUCAUUCUCCUAUUCAAAUGUUAAUGGUGCUGAAAGCAAACACGAAAAAGCCGAGGAAAAAGUAGUCAGAGCCGGAGACUGAAAAGUUAUUGUCUGAUAUCCAAGAAGAAUUAAAUGAGGAACGACCUUCACCCGAUGUCAAGCCGCUUACGUCAUACAAAGCAUCUCUUGAUGUACCGUCUGAGGGAAUACAUAAAGAAAUCUCAAACAAUGGCGAAAAUCAGCCAGAACUUUUUGACGACAUCAGUGAACAACCUGGAUCUGAAGAGGGAUUAGCAAACAUGAAACAAACACUUGAAUUUACACCAAGAGUUGUUGCUGAGUACUUGUAUAAAACUGGCGAAUCCCAGGAAUUCCAGAGCUUGCUUAACGACCUCGUAGAGUCAUCUGAGAUAACAUCUGAAGAAGCUGAGCAGUAUGAAAAGGCAGUUAUGGAUGAACUUUAUAAAAUUGAACAAGAACAGAACAACAACGUAAGA